GCUGGAGGCCUGGGAAGGCCAAGUCUGACAAAGCAAGACUCUGCUGAUACGUUCCUCCCAAAAACAGGGUCAGAGAGAGCAGCCCCUCCUGGGCUGUCCCGGGCUGCCUGCGCCCGCCGGUG